ensembl:misc_RNA Metazoa_SRP Metazoan signal recognition particle RNA
GCUGGGUGUGGUAGUGCACGCCUGUAAUCCCAGCUACAUAGGAGGCUGAGGCAGAAGAAUCACUUGAACCCAGGAGGCAGAGGUUGCAGUGAGCUGAGAUCAUGCCACUGCACUCCAGCCUGGGUGACGGAAUGAGACUCUGUCUCUA